AGCGAGUCAUUAACAUCAAAGCGAGUCAGUAACAUCAAAGCGAGUCAUUAACAUCAAAGCGAGUCAUUAAGAUCAUACUGAAUCUUGUAAAACUUUGUUUACAUUUUUGAGCACAACGCGAAAUAAUACCAGAGAAUAAUAUGAAGUGAAAAAUUUUUUUAGUUUUUAUCCAAAGUUUGGUUUUUAUCCAAAAUAAGUUUGACCUACUUUUACAAAAAGUUACACUUUUACACUCUUAACAAAAUGUCGUUUGUUCUAAAAUUAAAAUUGUUACGAACGUGUCUUAAGCAGUUAAAAAUCAUUUUAUCAUCAAUCAAGAAUUGCUCGUUCAUACGAUCAUAAUUGGUACUACAAAUGAGAUCAGCCAAUUUUAUCACAUUUCUAUAGUCGUGCAAUGAAUAGAUUUGAAUUAUAAAAUUGCAACAUAAAUGAACAUUUUGAUAUCACAGUUACAACUGCAGGAUUAACAAAAAAGGAUACAGAUUGAUGCCGCAGUCCGAACUGGUUUCCCAUUACAGCAAGUAUUGGCAUUAAAGUUGAAGUUUGUCUAACGAGGUGGUCUUCUUGACUAGAUUUAUUUAGUGCUCUAAAAAUAGCAUGGACAAAGUCAACUUCUACCUUAGCUUUCCACGAUUACCAUAAUUGAAUGCCCUUAUAAGUGGUGGGGUGCUUACAAAUUACACCUGCUCUGAUAAAGACAAUAACAAGUGGGAUUUGUCAAAGUUCUCAAUUAAUGUAUUGCUUGCACUUCCUUUAUUUGUUAAAAGUGAAUGUCUGUUCAUCACAACAAGAAACAUGUUUAAAGCCAAAAGAAACAGGCUGUUGUCUGAGUAUGGAGAACAAAAUCGCGUUUUUAAAUUAUAAUUUGCCUAAUUUCUUACAAUAGAUAAUUAAUUUAAACGCAAAGAACUUAGUUGUAGUAUAGCUACACUCUAUAAUCCCAUGACGUUGUGUAAUUAAAAAAAAAACUCUAUGAUUUGUGGUGGUAAUGAAAUACUUUGUGCGUUAAAAUACAUAUAACUGCAGUACAUAUAUUUUGCGAUAUGCAGUACAUGUAAUUAUUUAAGUAAAUGUUAAAAAAUAUUUUUGAAUAA